rnacentral:lncRNA from 1 species
GUCUCUCUUUCCCUAAGAAUGAGUUCCACUUAUUGUGAAAGCUUGACCAAGUUUGAUCUCACUAUACGAUGCCCAGUCCAAAUAGUAGAGUUUGUCCCGCCUAGUACCACAACUAAUCGUAUUUUCCGUGAGGAUGUCUUAAAAAACACAAUGAUUCAGUCAAAAUGUUACAGUACACCCCAAAAUAAUAGUAAGUUGUGCAACAGACAACAAGUUAUGGUUCAAGGAUGGAACAAGCAAUACAGAAUCUAGAUGUAGGGAAUUAGAAAGAGAUAGAGAGCUCUCCUCAACCACAAGGGAGGGGGUACCAUUAGCAUUAGACUUCAUCGACAAAGUGGAUGAUUUGCGACUAAUAAGUUGGUCAAGAUCAAAUGUCAUGUGAUCCGUAGCACCCGAGUCAAUAAUCCAUGUAGAAAAUAUCAUAAAAAGAUACACCAAUCCAGAUCACAUCACAUCAUUACUUCAUAUCUCGGUUAUCAUUCAUAGCAUGUAACCCACCACGUGACCCUUAAUACCCCACUGCCUUAUGUCCCUGUGUGGUACAUAUAUCCCUCGGAUACCCCAACACUAAAAUUCUCAUGUUCCACGAAUAGUACAUACUUCACAAAUAGUCCAAUCAAUAUAUAUAUAGUGUGAAAUAUUGCACUAAAUUAGACAUGUUUGACUUGAAAUAGAGAGAUAUUUGUAAAUAGAACAAAGUCAUGAUAAUUCAUGGUUUGUCAUUUUAUCACAAAAUAAGAACUUUUAGAACACAUUACAUGAACCACUCACCUCAAUAAUGAGAACCCUUAAAAGAAUUGGCAAGAUAACUCAUCUAAGAAUCUCCACCAACGCACUCUCUCCCCCUUCUCUCUCUAACUUUCUUUCUAAUUUCUCAUGUUUAGAAACUAUGAGGUUAUGCUCAUAUUUAUAGUGGUUAUAGGGAUAGGAUAAACUCCAAUAUUUAAAAGGAUAACAACAUCCAAGUUUAUCCAAAGGAUAUCUUAAUAAGAUAAGAUCAUUCAAAUUUAUUUAAAGGAUAAAUAUCUUGAAAAGAUAAGAUCAUCCAAAUUCAUCCAAAUGAUAAAUAUAUUAAGAAGAUAAGAUCGUCCAAGUUUAUUCAACUGAUAUAAAUAUAAUCUUUUAUCCUUUUAAAAUACAUGUCUUCAUAGAUCAAUUGAGGGCUUGGAACCAAACCCAUCCUUAGCUUAAGAAAAGGUUCAGGCCUUAGGAGCAAUAAUUUGAAAAGCAAGUCAUCCUAGAGUUGAGUCAUAUGGAGAUUUAAGUCCAUGGGAAUGACCCGUUAGUAAAUAUGUGGAGGUAUAAUCCACGUGUGUAAAAGUUACAAAACAAUAUUUUAGGAAAAACUCGUGAAAAUAUAGACAAGAAAAAUACACAAGUGUACAAAAUAAUUUAGGUCUAGUAAAUAUGUGGUGUUAUAAUCCACGUGUGUAAUAGUUACAAAUAGAAAAAUCCUAUGACUAAACUUCCAAGUUUGUGUCAGAUCUUCAAUUCUAAGGUGGAAAAUAUUCAAGUCUGCUUUUAAGGACUUGGUCAAAAAUGCUAUAGGAUUUUUCAUAAGGGCUUGAUUAAGAGUGCUUUAAGUUGUAACGUAGAAGUUGUGUGAUCCACUAGUAAUAGAACGGAGGUGGAGAUAAAAGCAUACACCUUGAGAGUUCUUUGGGUUACCUACUCUAUUAGACCUAGGUAAGUAAGUUGGAGACAAUAUCAAAUGAUGACUCAUGAUUAGUAAUGGGCCACAUUGAUCCAUUUCUUGCCUUACUCCAAUUUGUUUGGAUCCAUCUACCUCUCAAAGUUUUGCCAAUAAUUUAGUUUCUAAUUUAGUUUAUUAAGGGAGGACAACAAAAUAAGGCGGCCAAUCUAACGUUAUAUUCCUAACAACUCCAUCCGAGAUGUAGUCAAAUAAAGAAUCACUUUUGAGAACCUUUUGGUCAUUUAAUUCUUUACAAAAAGUGGCCCUAUAUGUCAUCAAAAUUGAGUGGCUAAAAACUGAACUUCCUAAAAUGACAUUAGGUCCACUUUUUAUAAAGAAUAUAGUAUGAUAUGGUAAAAAGACUUUCAAAAGUGACUUUAUUUGACGGCAUCUUGGAUGAAAUUGCUAGGACUAUGAUGGUGGGGGCUAUGUUGACUAAUUUUGUAUAAUUCAAGAGAAAAAUUAGCUAAGACAAAGUUUUAGGGGGAGGGGUAAAUUGACAAUAUCGAUAUAAUUUAGGGAGAAAAACUUAUUACAGAAAGAAGAUGUUGAUCUCUUGGUUGGUUUGUAAUGUUAUCAUCAAUGGAAGUAGUUUUGAUAAUCUAGUCUCCAAAGAGAGAGUGGCAAAAUCGAACCUUUAGGUUUACCAACAUCUAAGGCCAUAUCAAAUAAACUUUGUUCAAGAAAAAAGGUGUACGUGGCAUUUAUGCCAGAUUCUUAAUUGUCACAUUAGGCCCUUGCCCCAGUAGGAUGACCAGUAUAACACUCCUAAUAUAAUGUCCACCAUAUGAGGAGGGAUCUAGUAUCCACGUGGACACAUUUUUGUUCGGGUGCUUUAUUGUGCAGAAACACUCCAAGAUUUUGUCAUUGAUGGAUUAUGCGAUGCACACACACACACACACACAAACCCCUUGAGAAUAAAACACACACACACUACGAAGAGAGUAAGCAAACACACAAUAAUACAAAGAUUUAUAAAAGUUUGGCCUCAUGCAUACGUCCACUUUGGUAAUCCCCUCGAGAAAUUUCACUAGAAGAAUAGGAACCACUUUGAUUACAACAAGAAAUUCCUUAACUCUCUAUCCUCUCAAAACCUAUGUCUUAAUUUCUCUCAAACCCUUUGAUGCACUUGUAAACACUUAAGAAUUUACCAUUGAAUUCUGUCUUGUGUUUCUCUCUUGAAAAUUCACUCUUGAAUUCUCCUCUCUUACUUUAACCUACCCCUAAAAGUCAUAUUUAUAAUGCAUAGGAUUUAAUUACAAGUUAACCAGAAAUAGAAAACUAAAAUCCUAUUAAAUUAGGCUAGAAAUUUCCAAAUAAUAGGAAACCACGUUGAAACACACCAAAACGCCAAAACUGCGCUCGGCCCUGUACACAUGACAAUCGGUUGUCGAGAGUAGAUGAUUGGUCGUUGCUCUCGGCCAAAACCGAUCAAUUGCUUGCACUGUAACUCCUCUUAUUGCGACUUCUUCUCCUCUUCCUGCUACUCCUCCUUAUAGCCUUUUGUUUCCUCUUCCUCCUCCGCAUCCAUGGUGAGCCAAACUUCAAUAUGCUUAGCCUGAAACCAAAUAAGGAAUUGGGGUUUGGAUUUUAAGCUCCAGAUUCUGGGGUUUGAAGUUUGGAACUUGGGAUUUGGGUUUGAGGUUUAGGUUUGGGUUUGCUUUUAUGAUUAACGUACGUAUUACAAGUAUUCGUUUUAUGUUAGACUUGAUAUUAUUUGCAAUUUUUUAUAUGUUAUAAAGAAAAAUGGAAAGAUUGAAUUGAUAAAACGAAUAAAUGUGAGACGACGUGAGAGAUGAAUUUGAGUUUACAUGUUUGGACAUGACGAGUUAAUAUUUCGAUGUUUAGUACACGACAUGAACACAAAACUAACACGGUAAAACACAACCGGUUAGCCAUGAAUACACAUGACCUUAGUCAAAUUGAAUUAUUUCUAAAACUCCUAAAUUCCACAUCCAUUACACAUUGGACAAUUGACCCCCCAGAAAAAACACACAUCCGACAAUAAGAAAAUGUUGUCUUUCCCACGAGUUAUUUACAAUCUCACCGUCCAAGCCCUUUAGAAAAAUUUAUUACACCGCAUUAACAAAGCAAAAUAAUAAUAAAAAUUCAUAGAACUUUGAAUAUUUGUUCUCUUCUGAAUAUCCAGGAGUAGACAAACCCUAUUUGACAUUGUCUUGCAUGUACCAUACUUAUACCGUGCAUGGAAUUUUGAAUGCCACUUGUCACUCAUGUAUGCUACCAAAUCCAAAUGGAGAGGGAUUUGCUGGUCCAUACAUCCCUCCUCCUAAGUGACCUUAUUAAUUGUUUAUUUGUAUAAAAUGCUAAAUGGAUCACACGAUGGAUAUGCAAUGAGUGUAUGUUACAGUAGGGAAAAAAUAAAAAUAAAAGUGAGGUGAAUGGAGAGAGUUUAGGGGAAAAAAAAUGAACAUAUGGACUAAUCCAAAAUGCAUAUUUUAUCUUUGCACGUUGUUAACACGUCACUCACAUCACUAGAUUUAAGAUAUGUUGAAGAAAGAUAUGAAGACCAACUUCCAAAUUUUUUCCAAGUUGAAAGUAAGAUGGAUUAUUGAUGAAUGACCUUAUUCAUGAAGGUAGUAGAGGAAACAUUUCCUUAAUGACUAAUCCAUCUUCUAGCUUCAACUUGAACAAAAUUUGGAAGUUGGCCUCCAUUUCUUGCUUCAACCUACCUUAAAUCUAGUGAGUCAUCCAAUACAAUAUAAUCCUAGAAACCAAAUGUGACCUAAUCUUCUAGGUCUUAUGUUCCAUUUGGGGGUCUGAUCAAGAUCAAGCUCUUUCAAUAUACUAAUCCAUUUUGUCAACAAAUUGGGACUUUUCUUUCUUGAUCAACCUCUACAAUAUUGUGACAGUGGAUCUCUUGAAAACUUCCGACCAUGGUUUUUUCUAAUUCGACAAUGCAUCGAUUUAAGUCUUAACUAAUCCUACGCUUGAUCCAACAAACCCUCUCCUAAGUAAGAAGAAUUAGAUAAGCCGCCCUUCAGUGCCGCAACAAGGGGGGAAUGGUCUCUGCCCCUCCUCUCUUUUCCUAUUUACCAUUCCUCCGCUUCUUCUCUCUUCUUCCCUUUCAACUCCUCUCUCUCUCCGAAUUUCUGGGGCUUGUUUUUUGUUUGGUUUUUAUUAUUAUUGUAGGUUCUUAGGUUGCAGCAACUUCAGUGGUGUUUACUCUGUCCCCACUGUUGUGGCAGCAACUGUGGUAGCAUCGAAGGGUUUUUGUUUAUGUUCGAGUCUGCCUUCUUCCAAGUUAUGGCUUUGGGUUGGUUUUGUUUGGUGUGAGUUAUUUGGUGUUGAAUAAGAGCAUCAAACCCGAAAGAAGAGUUUGAUGCUUGUUUGUGAUCUUUCUGCUGAAGAGUUUGCAGUGUGGGUGCUAUAGCUGGUUUUUCUAUACAUGCUUUCUUUGAUCAUGUGUGGCUAUAAGAGAACGUAUACUGUAUGAGUUUGAUUACCCUCGUGGUUUUUCUAAUGGCCCUAGUAUCUAUUGUAUUUGUAUUACCCUCGUGGCACAAUUUAUGAAUGCAAUCUCCCUACCGUUUGACCCCAAAAAAGAAAAAGAAAAAUAAAAACCCUCUCCUCUACCCCAUCAAGUUCAAAAUAUCAAUCCACACCUAGAGCCUACUCUCAUGUGUAACCCUAAUCUAGACUCCAAGUACUCUUACAAGACAUCAAUGUCUCGUCCUAAUCUUAAUCUUUGACUCACACUUUCAAUCUUGAUGCACUUGAGUCUGCAUGUUGCUCCAGACACAGAUGUCAAUGCUAAGCACACCUUAUGUUUUCUUAUACAUACAUGUCAUGAAAUUGCGUGAUGUUCAAACUACCUACACACAAAAAGCACCCUAUUCUAAUGUCUAGCAAAGAAAGAAAUUUAUCUGAGUCUUAUCUCUUAAGCCCAAACCUAGGUCUAAAUUACAAUCUUGUCCGAAUUUUGAUCAUCUUGACUUCCUCUUGACUUGAGUCUCCAAGUUGCCCCAAACACACUUAAACAUACCCACGUACCCAUCCUCUGAAGUUUUCAUUAUAUACAUCCGUGUCAUGAAUUUACCAAUGCCUCGUAUUAAAGUUCACUCAUACAAUAUUUUGUUUUUAUCUUUCAACCUUAGAAUUUUUGGUCAACCAACUAUAUAGCCUUGAAACAAAUGUGUUUUAUAUAUGAUAGUUACAAGAAUUAACUUAUUCUGAUAUCAAAGUCUAGAUUUCUUCUUAAUUUUGAAGUCAGUCGACUGGUAGAUGUCUGUUGACCAACAUGACUAACAUGAUGCUUAUAACUAUCUGAAGCACAGUGCUUCUAUCAGCUGCAACUUUAAAGUUGAAAUGAUGUUGGUUGUAAUCAAAUAGCUAAAAAACCUCUAAUCUAGUUGACUUUUUGUAUGAAUGAUCCUCCAAAAAGAACAUAAAAAGAAAAAGGGUUCAAUCAUUAGCCCCGUCGGGGGUGAGAUGUUCAAGUUUUUCUUAAACAAUGACAUACUCAGUUGAAGCUUUUUGUAUGUAUAUGCGUGCGCAGUUGAAGCUUCUUGUGCAUGUGUGUGUGCUCGCUGUGGCAACAUAAGUACAAGGUUGAUUCGUGCUCGAAUGUGGUUCUAACAAAAUAAAUAUUUAUGUUGCUAGAUAUGUAUGCUGAUAUGAAUAAAAAAUCAUGUUGUUGACUUAAGAAGCAAACACUUUAACCUGAUAAACUUCCACUGCUAUUUUUGUUGAAACUGCAGCAUGUAGAAAAGCAAUAUAGUUGAAAACUGAUGAGCCCGUUCGGAAUCAAUAUAGAAACUGCUGACACAGGUGCAAACAAAAAUAUGGGCAGAAUAUUCCUCUCCAACAAACAUUUGCCUACAGCCUCGUUCUCCUCCUCAUCAUCAUUUUCAGAAUCACAAUCCAAGCCAUAAAUCCUUUACGAUAUCAUCAUCACCCCGCUAUUAUCAGCCUCAUCCAGAAUAAUUUUAGUCAGCUGUUUGAAUCUAGUUCUAAGAAUUUACUAACAGACAGUCAUAGAGACACACUUCCAAACUCAGUUCCCACCUCUGUCCGGAUUCAAUCCACUGCAAUAAUACCUACUCUGGAAAUUCCCAUUCAACUCUAAAGUGCCACGCAGCUGUAUCGAUUGAACUGACAUUAGUAACUGGACAAGCUCUUGUAGACAUAGUUCAGAAAAUAUGAAAGCAAAGCUCUUGAUCAUUGAUAAAUAUGCAGUUUCAAAGACAGGCUUUAUUCUUGUUAUGCAUCAGCAAUACUUGAUAUGCAAAUGACUGAAACUAGCUAGUAUGAAAUCAUAUAGCAGCUUACUUACAAGGGGAAAAAAAGGAGGGAAAUACAGAGUUGUUAAUUUUUUUAUAUAAGUAGUUCUUAUGUCACAUAUUUAUGUCUAAUGAUCCCACUUCUUGAAGAAACUGAAUUUAGAGUUAGAAAGUUGAUUGGCUAAAACAAGCUAGGAAGGGAAACAGAUACAUAUCUCUAGUUCCCUACUUCAAACAAUGUCUGCUUGAACAUCUGAAAACCAUAGAUUUAUCAGAUAUCACAGCUUACAAGAUAUUUUAUUUUGGGGGAGUAGAUUAAAAGUUUAUAGUCUAAAAUGUUAUCAUGACAUGUUGGUUUUCUUUUGUUACAUGUCCGUGUGCAGCUUCUUGAAAAUACAUUCAUAAUUUUUUUGUACCAAGUUAACCAAAAGCGAAGAGUGUCUCUGAUAAAACUGAAUCUUCUUUACCAGCAUAAAAUCAGUAAUUGAACGAUACAACAAAGCGAAAGAGGAGCACCAUCAAUUUGGAAAUCCAACUUCUGAGAUUAAGGUAAUCUUCAGUUCUGAGUCCUGCAUUUUUUUCUUUAAUAGUUUAUCUUCAAGGCGUAUUUAAAAUAUGAGUCUUCAACGUGCUGUUCAGUAUUACAAAUAGAUUAUCUGGCAUGAUAAACCAAUCAUGAAAUCAUACAUCAAAAUAUGCAUUUACUCAGACAUAUAUAUAUAUAUAUAUCUCAUUCUGUAAAUUUAUCUCAUUCUAUAAAUUUAAUGAUUCUGAAUAAAAUAAACCAAAUUAUUGAAUAAAUUUUGAAAUUAUUUGAGAAAAUAAUGAAAUUAAAAAUGAAAACAAUAGGACAUCCCAAACUUUCAGAAGAAAAGGACGUUGGGAGAAAUGCACUGUUGGAUUACAUCAAGAAAUCAAAUAGGCAGAACGCAUCAAGAUAUUAGUAACAAGUAAAUAUAAUACGGUACAGCAGCCACUUCCAAAAAUUUGUAGGACAGCCAAGGAAUACUGGAAUUGCGUUUCAGUCAGUUUCCCAAGGUGGAUAAAAGAAAUAUUGGCAGUUCUAGCUUAUACUGUCUCAACGACGGCUGCUUUUUCAGGAAAAACACAUUCAAAAUAACUCAUAACCUUGAAAUAUGAUACUCGAAACUUUUCCAAACCACAAUUUACAAAAAUACAUAAACUAGAUUUAAAAAGAAACACCGUUCUCCAUACACAACCUGAAAUCAUGGUUGUAUGUUCGAAGUUGGAAGUUGGAAGUUGGAACACAUAUCAUCUGAGCAGCCCCCAUAUAAUGGCCUAAGUGGUCUCCUUUGGUGGUAUUGGAAUGCACCAGUUUUAUGGCUUUCAUGGCUUUCACUCACAAUAUUAUUUUGGUGGCAAUUUUCAUAUUACCUUCCUACCUAGACAUACAAACUUCUAUUGCUCAUAAAUUAUGUCUAUACACUCGAAAGAAAUUGCAACCUCACCCGUCCUAAGAAAUAAAUUGAAAAUAUUAUUAAUAACCAUAAUGAAGCCAUACAAUUGCACAAGUACAUUAGCCUAUCAAAAGUGUUGUAUUUAGCAGAAGUACAUUUUCAAUCAGAAGUGACGAAAUAUGGUGUUCACAAGAAAAUCAUCAGCUGCUUCGCAGUGAAUAAUAAGUUAGCAACAAGGUAAAAGAAUAUGAGAAAAAAAAAAUUUAGUACAGAGUUAAGAAGAUACCGUUAAAAAGUAGAAACAUAAAACUGUCAAAGAAGUAGUCCUCUCAGAAUCCAUUUUGUACAGGCUACAACGACUGUCCAAAAUAGGAUGCAUUUAGAAAGAUUUUUUGAAUUAAAAAUCCAGAUUUCACCAUUGUUUAUGUCAUUGCUCGCAAGCAAGUUUUGCUUCUCUACUGUCACAGAAAUAACACACAGAAGCAUAUAAUUUCAAACCACUUAUUCCUUCUUCCAACUGGUCAAUUAAAGUUCACCUCUUCAACGAUAAAGUGAUUUGCAUGUCACAGAAAGAAAACUGUGAUAGCAAAGGACUUCCAUGUAUAACUAGUUGCCAAUUCAACUUGAACCAAUCCAACCUUGAUGACUUGGCGUUGAUCAAGAAUUGGAUUAUUUUCCUUCCGGCUUGUCGCAUCAAUGAAACGCCUAAAAGAAAUGACUAAGAUGACGGGAAGAUUAUGGACGGACUAGAUUGGCAAAUUCAAUUCAGAUUUAAUGCUGUUUCAUCCGCCAAAUCCAUGAUGCCCGUCAUUUGCAAUUGCAGAAGGAAAAGAUCAGUCCAGAGACCACACAUACGACAUAAAGACAAAGCCCCUAUAGCUGCACAGCUUUCAAAAUAAUUCCAUUAAAAGAUAGUUCAUUUUUCUUGAUAGAUCAUAGCAACAAAGUAUUAAUCCUGAACACGAUGUGGAAUUGAGCAAAGAUGAAUGGCUAACCUCCCAAAGUUCAGUAACAAUGGGAAUAGAGGUUAUUGCUAAGACGAAGCGUCAAAUAUGUCUGCUCUCACAUUUGUGAAGUUGUUUCAGUAAUAAGAAAUUGGUUCACCAUUUCCAGGGGAAUCUCUUUUUAGUUUGAGGUAUUUCAAUUCAAGUAUGGAGCUCUGAACAAGGGUCAGACCGCAACUGCUGGUAAGACUCAUCCUAGAGGCACUAAAAAUGUCACUCUGAGAAUUUCUCCAGUUCCACUUUUCCUUUCUAGACCAAAAAACUCUCUAUAAAGCUGUACAUAUAGGAGGUAAAUGGAACCCAUAAAAGAAAUUAGGGCAAGAAAACAAUAGCGCAUUGCUCCUUGAUCAUAUAAAUCAAGUUCUAUAUCCAUACAAAGGCAUCAUAUGCCAAAAUGCUAACCGUGGCAACAAUUUACAGAUUUUCUGUUCUUGUCAAUAGAAACAUCUGUGCAUUGCAACUUUCUAUUUCUACUAAUAAUAAGAAACCAGGAUGCUAUUAAAAUUCAGUUCCAGCUACGUACCUGACUUUGAUCCUUUAGCUCGCAGACUAGCAAUGGACCCCUAACUAGUGUCAUGUUAAGCUCAAUUUCUCCUUUAUGGUGCCAUCAAUUUAGAGAACUAAAAUGCAAGCACGCGAUGUGAGUUACAUUAUGUAACUGCAUAAUGCAGGCAUAAAAGAGGUUACAAUUCAAGUAGUAGGUAAUGCUUGCAUACAAAAGAUGUUGCGAGUAAGUAGUUUAUGAUCGUUUAAUAUAAGCUCAUGAUUUUCCUUGCAUGUUUACAUUGGUAUAUGAACAAAACCUUUAUGCUGACCAUAAUAUCAUACAAAUAAGAGCCUUGUUUUCACAUAUAGCUGCUAUUAUGUUGAAGUGGCCAAUUUCCACUUAAAUAUGUUCAUUGUAAUAGUUAUGACUAAAGGUGGUCUUUUUUUACUUCCUAGUUAUGGCAAAGGGAGGCAGCAAUGUUGAGGCAACAACUUCAAAACUUGCAGGAAAACCAUAGGUAUAAUGAUUUUCCUUUUUAUCACGAAUUUAUUGUAUCAUAUAUUAACCAUGAAACACAAGCACUAUGGAAGCACAAAUAGAAAUGAAACAUUAGAAAGUCAGAAUACAAUUAGGACGUCUACAUGUGAGAAGAUAACAUGCACGUACGUUCUAACAACACUUCACUAAAGCUUCAUUUCCUAAAGCAUUGCUCUAUUCAUAAAGGUGAGAUAUCUAAGUCUAUCACCAAUUGCAUACCUGAUGUCUCAACAUUUUUGUUCUUAGACGCUUCAAAAGGUGCUAAUAUCAAGAAGUUAUUUAUUGUUUGGAUCAUUCAACGGACCUGAGUGUAAUUUAGUUUCCUACAUCAGAUUUCUUUCUUUUCCAUCUUUUGGGAGAAGCUUUGAAUUUGAGCUUCUCCAGAAACUCCAUUUUCACCACUACAAUUCAUAGGAAAAACAGAUUAACAAAAGAGCACUUUAUAUGGUGCGAAACUGCUGCUCAGCUGUGCCAAGAGCUGCACCAAAUGGACACUUACAGUAGUUGGGUUAAAGAGGUAAUGAAGAAGAUGAAUGUAGGGGAAACAAAUUGAACUUAAUGGAACCCCUAUUGAAGGUUGCAAAUUCUUCAGCAAUAUGGUAUGGCCUGACUUUCUAAAUACAAUCCUAUUUGUAAUCGCAACUUAUUGGCUUUCUUUUAAUAAAGUCUUCAUUUCUUAUAAAUACAAUAAUAAUAAUUACUUGACUAAUUACCUAAUUUUAAAGAACAAAGGUGAAGCUUAGGGUAAAACUAUCUAUUUUAGGUUAAAUCUUCAGUCAUAACCUGACACUUUGGUUGGAGGGAAAGGGGAAGGAGUGUGCGGGCAGUGUUGGUAUGCAUGUACAUAAUAAACUAAAGGCAUGAAAAAAAAAACAUUGGAGAAGAAAUGUGAUUUUUAUUCUAGAACAAACAACAAUAGAAGCUAUCUUCUUACUGAAGGGACUAGUGGAAGAGCUUAGAGAGAAAAGGAAUGGUCAUAUAUGGUUUUCAUAGAUUCAGAAGUAUAGGUUAUAAGCAGUGGGCUAUAGAUAAAAAAGCAAGACUUGUAAAGUAGGAAAUACUUGGUCAGUUUUUUUCAAAUAAUAAUAGGUCUUUAUCAAUAAUUGGAAUUAAGUCCCAACCCAACCUUUCCAGAAGUGAUCAAUAAAGACAUUUACACAAACUUUGCAAAUGACAUCAUGCUAUUAAAUUAAAAUAUGAAAUAGCAAUAUUAGUAAAUCAAUUUGAUUGCCAAAACAAACAACUAUGGAAGUUAAUUUCUUAUUUAUGAAAUUUGCGUAAGAUCUAAGAGAAAAGGAAACGAGAUACCAAGUCUACGUUAAAGUUCCUAAGAAGGAAGCACAUUGGAGUUUACAAAAGAAGGUAGUUCAUUCCAAAACAUCAGUUCUAGAUAGAGGAUUAACAAGCCAAAACUAGCAGAGGAAGUAACAGUUUAUUUGAAAUGACAAAAGGUUUUAUUAAGGAAUAGGGACACAAUGAAGUCUGCAGCACUUUGCAUAUGUUAUUGAUAAACUUACUACAUCUAUUUACAAUUUCGUCUAAUAGUUUAUGCAAUCUGGAAAUGAUAAAGACAUAAGAAUAAGUUAUCAUAAAUUUCUGUUUUUCUUUUUCAUUGUUGAAGUAUUUUUGUUUUUGGGCCAAUUGUUGUUCAGCUUUAUGAUAUUGAAGGGCAUCUUAUGCUGUAUACUUGAUUAUGAAAUACCUUAGCUGUUGGAAAUUCAUAACAAAAAGUUUUCUGCUUUUCCAAAUUUCUUUUAUGACAUAAACUUGUGCUAUUCCAAUUUUAUCACAACCAACUGUUUUUAAGGUAGGCACACUGUUGGCAUAUAAAGACAUAAGGCCGUACUGAGAGUAAGUUCUAAUAAAUAUUGGUUUUAUCUGCCAAAGAAGUGUGGUAUUAGAGCAAAUGAGCUCAGUCUAACUGAUUUUUUUAAUGAACCAGCAAAGAAAUCCACAUACUGCUGUCAAAAGCAAACAGAUUAAAUGUUCAUUAAAAAAACCUCUAGCCAUGUUAAUCAAACACCGAUAUUAAUUAUGCUUUCACUAUCACAUUUGGAGAACUUUUACCAAAAGUCUAUAAGAAAUAAAAGAGAAGAAAAGAGUUAAGAUUAUCAGAAUAAAUUAAAUUCUCAUCAACUUAUCAAAAACUGUCACUAAAUUUAUGUUUACAACCACAUUUUGGGAACUUAUGCCAAAAAGAAAAAGAAAAUGAAAGUUAAGAUUUUCAGAACAAAUCAAAUUUUCAUAUCAACCUAUCUUUAUGCAUGAAAUGAUUUUCCAUUUCAAAGAAAUCUUCACAUCCACAAGUUACGUUGAAAGCACUAUCACUUGGUGUCGUAUUGAGGUAAACUCAAGAGAAACCUCAUACAUGCUUUAGCUCAUAUCUAUCUUCACAAAUGUAUCAAAUGAUUCUAGAACUGCUCACGGUUCAAAUACUACCAAAUUAAUAAACAAAGCAGGUGGAGUCAUUUCUUAAUAGUGUAUAUACUGCAUUGAGCCCAAAACGUUGCCAAUGCAGUAUAUUCACUAUUAAGCUAGACAUUGUUGAAUUAUUGUUCUUUUCUCUUCUGCUAUUGGUGGAUUACUUGAUCACUUUACUUUAAAGUUUCUCUUACCAAAUAAAAUUUCAUCUUUUUGUUUCAAAAGAACUGCAUUGAGCCAAAUGGAAUGUUCCAUGAUUUCAAACCAGAUGAUAUCAAGAGUCCAAAGGUUAUGACAGAAUUGUUGUAUGAUGCUGGUAGAAUAAAUAAUUUUAACAUUGAUUUACACAUUACCAUGAUGAAGUGACAACUUUUCACAUGCUUGCUUCAGAAUUUGCACUAAGUAAUUGACAAUGUUUAUGCUCCUCAAGAUAGUCUAUACUGUAAUUUAAACCUACCUAAACAGGACAAUCCAGAGCUCAAAAAAGUGGGAUUCGGUAUAGCCAAACAAACAACCAGUGUAACCAAUAAAGAUGUUUAGCAUCAAAAGAGAAUUGUUAAGCAUCUCAUAAAUCCAACUCACUACUGGAUUUAAGAUGUCCGAAAUCCAUGUUUAGGGCCUAAACAAUGUUUACCUCUCAAUGAUUACAGGCAAAUGAUGGGCGAAGAGCUUUCUGGCCUCAGUGUUAAAGAUUUACAGAAUCUGGAGAACCAAUUGGAAAUGAGUAUUCGGGGUGUCCGAAUGAAAAAGGUCAGACACUGCCAUUCUCUAAGCAAUCACUCAUUCUUUGAAAAAAAAAUCUUUAAAUGUUUGUGUAUGGUGCUAAAUUAAAACUUUCACUUUUGUAGGAUCAACUUUUAAUGGACGAAAUACAAGAACUAAACAGAAAGGUUAACUUUGCGAAACUUUGGUACCAUAUUCAGCAUGUUCCUCUUUAUUACUUAAGCAGCUAAAUUUAAACGUGUGUGUGCAGGGGAACCUCAUUCACCAAGAAAAUGUCGAGCUGUAUAAGAAGGUAAACCUAACUCGUCAACAAAACAUGGAAUUAUAUAAGAAGGUACUGGUUUUGAUAACUACAACAGACUUCAACUAUCCUCAAAAGACUGAUAAAAAAUCUAAAAGCCAACCUACAACAUAUUGCAACAUUUUUUCAAUAACACCUCAACAGAAAAGUUUCACAUCCCAGGUUUAUGGAACAAGGGAUGUAAAUGGAGCAAAUAGAAAUCCCCUUCUGACAAAUGGUCUAGGUAUUGGAGAGGACUCACAUGGACCUGUCCAACUCCAGCUUAGCCAGCCACAGCAGCAAAACUGCGAGACAACAGCAAGAGCUACAAAGCUGGGGUAUACCUCCCUUCCUAAAACUCCAUCAUCCAUUAUGAUUACCAUUUUUAAUUUGCCAAAUGUUGAUUAAAUUGUUUCCAUGAUGACUACUGCAGACUACAACUACAUUAGCAAAGAAGAUGCAUCAGAUUAGGACGACGUUGCUUGAUUUCUAUCAAGAACAAGGUUGAUGGAUACAAAUUUAUGUUCUAUAAGAGGAAUGUGGUAAAAGAACCACAGAACAAUCAGAAAAGGACCUUGAUUUAAAAGCAAACAAUGCUUUGAUGUGUGUGUGACAAUCAAACAAACAAAACAAAUAUGUAAAGAUGAGAUUUAUAUAUAAUAAAGAAUAACUGAAUUGCACUUCAGGUGCAAUGCAGCUUUUAAAAUCUCUAAGUCUGUCUGCAUCCAUGAAAUAAGCAAACUGCUCUGCAGGCUGACAUUUGCACUCGUAUUGGAAAAUAUGGUGGAAUGUUUAUACGCAGGUUAUCAAUUUGUUCAACAAAAAAUAUCAAGUCCAGCAGUUGCUUUAAAAAAGAUGAAAAUAUAAAGAGAAAGAAGCAAAACUGUUGAAUCAUCUCAACUUAACUGCGUUCAAGUUCAGUCCACCCAAGUAUUGUAUUUCACAAAAUGGUAUAUGAGGUACUUACCUCCUUGUUCACGCAAUUUGAUUUACAUAGACAGCAUCAAGAGCAAUUUCAUGUCCUUAUUGCAAUAUAAUUUCCUGCAUGGCAAUAAUAGAGGGUUAAGAACGCACACUAAGGGUUAUCUGGUCAUUGACAGUUUUCUUUAUAAUAUACUAUAUAUUUUGUAUGCAGACAGAGGAUAGUGCUACGAAUAAUAUAUAUUACAGAAAAAUAGAGAGAACGAGACCUAGAAGAUUCCACGCACUUGAACCACCACAGAUUAUCAUACAGGUAGGUAUGACAAUAUGCAAAAUUCUUUUAUAUAAUAAACUUUCUCUAGGACUAGUCAAAUGAAAUAGAUUCAAAUUUAAGUUAUCAGCUGGGAAAAAAAUCAUGCAUGGUCGAAUGGAAGUAAAACUCAUUAAUGCUAGUUACCAUCAAAUGUUGAUCCUGGACCAACUUUGAUUGAAACAAACAUAGAAUUUGUGAGUACAAUGUUUCAUUUAUCAAAUGCAGCGCAAUCCAUAAAUAUUAAGGCUCCAGGACCAUUACACAGUAAUUCUUCUUAUAUUAAGUUAGGACUAGAAGACUAUGCAUGCCUAGCCUGCAGACACCAGACAAUCCAAAGCCACUCUACGGUAUUUACUUAUGUAAACAACAUAACUCUAAUUAAGAUUACCACAAUCAGAUAUAUGUGUUCAGAAUUAUGGUUUCCAAAUUUGUAUCAGACACCAAAUAACUUGCAACAGGAAUGCAAUUUGAGCAGAGACAUGCAAUAACAUGUUGGAAGUCUUACAUACUGCCACAGAUACGGAAGAUAUCCAAUUCAAGAGGGAAGAUCACAUAUGCCACAUUUGAGAAUCAACUUUUGGUAAGCUGGGAAAACAAUAUUCAUGAGAUCAGGUAUCAACAACUAAGGCCUACCUGGCAUAGCUUGCAAAGAAAGGUUCCUUCCUUCUCAGCAAGUCUUAAACACGAAAACAUGUUCAAACAAAAAAUCAGGGUCUUCUGAUUCUGAACCAUUUCAUUCUUCUUAAAUACUUAAAAGGUUUUAUUUACUUUAGAGAUAAAUCUGUGUUCUAAAAAAGUCUUUAAGAAGAGGGGGAAGAAUGUUGAGAUCAUCUGUUCAGAUAUUAAAAAAUCUUCCAGAUAUCUUUUAGUCAUUGCAAAUCUCCAAACAGAAGAAAUAACUUAUGUUGAGUAGCAAUUUGCAAACUUUAUGCAAUGAAUAGAAAGAAAGAACUUGACAUGCUUCAAUAAUCCAUAAUUUGACGUUUAAAAUAAUAUGCAAUUCAAAUCUUAUCAAACCAAUACAUUAAAAGUAAAGGGAAAAGAAUGACAAAAGUUUUAGGUUUCUCAAGCAUAACUCCAAAACUCAAUCUUGAUAUAACGAAAAUAUAGAAAAGAAACUGUUGGCACCCCAAUAAGUCAUUCUGCACAACUUCCUUUUGUUUUUACAAAGGAGUGGGAUCACUUUUUUGGAGUGCCAAUAACAGCUCCGUAUGAAAAAAAAACCCCAAAAAUCUGGUAAUAUGCACAAUACCUGAAUGCUUAUUUCAAGAGGAGCAAAACACGCAUUAAAGAAUACAAUUGUAAAUAGUAUAAAUGAGUCACUUCUCGAAACAAAAAUAGUACUUUCCAGGACAAAAGAAAACAAUAGAACAUGGUUUUAGAAAAGAAAAAUCAUUGCAAUAGUAAAAGGCAAAAGACAAUGAAAUCAACAAAAUUGUAAGCAUUUGCUGCAUUUGGCAAGAGUAAAUAGGACUCAGGGAUCUCAAAUCUUCCACAAGGAAAAUAGCUGUUCUAACCUCUGCAGAAACAAGGAAAUCACCGGAGUUAGGGGGACACUGUAGUGACCACCAAGGGCUCCAAUGCUCAUAAUCAUUGAAACUGCUUCAAAAAGAAAGAGAAAGAAUGUGCAAAGGCUAGGGUUUGUGAGCAAUAACUUGCAUACCACUGCAUAGUGAGGAAGAGGAAAGAUUCAUACUCCAAAGAUUGUUUAGAAUGACCGAAAUCUUUGGGAAUAGAAAGUCCUCAGUACGAAAAUAUUGGAUGUGGAGAUCUUAGCCAAUAAUUUGAGCUGAUCCCUUAUUAUUAGGGAGAAAGAUCCAUAUAGGGAUGGAAAGUAACUUUAAUUGGAAUUCCGUGGUGCAGGUCGAGUUCAUGUUGGUCUAGGAAUGGUUUGUGAUGUGCUAAACUAAUUUACCUCAGCUCCCUAUUGAGAAAGCCUGUGAUACACUGAAAUCUAACAGCGUCUAUGCAUUAGGGAAGUCUAGGGUAUUUAAGUAAGGGAUAUGAAUCCAAACGUCAACUUGGGCUAGCUCUUUUUGAGGAGGGCCCUGGGUUGUUGUUACAAGAUACCCUUGAAUCCCACCUUGGCAAUGUGAUAAGGAAAUCCAGAGUACUUAAGUAUCAAACAAAGCCUGCGAAUUCAAAUGUCAACUUGACCUAGAACUUUUGGAGAAGGCUUUGGGUUGUUGCAAAAUGUAUUGGAGCAACCCCGUCCAUUGCCUAUUUCCAACCAAGGGUUCAUUGUUAUUAUGACGACUCUUGCAAGUGAGGGAAGGAAGGGAUGAUGCCCCCAUGCUCUAUGAGGUAAUGUGGAUGUUAAGGAAAGUAAGUAAUUGUGUCCCAAUAACCAAAGUUUUCACAACUGGCAAGGGGAUACUAGGUAUCAUUGAUUCGUAGGCUGGCCAAUGAUUGCAUCUCAUAUAGAAAAUACCUGUCCAUUAUGUGGUCAUUUUUUGUGAGGAUGCGAAGGCCUAGAGGAGAGGAGAUUAUGAUACCCCUAAAUUGUAUAUUGGCAAUUUGUUGAGGAGACUUAGGAUACUUUGGAGGAAGCCUUGUGUAUACUCUGAAUUCUACAUUGGCUAUGCGUUUCCAAGAUCUAAGUUGAUUAAGAUAGGCAUAUCAAUCCAAAUGUUAACUUAACUACUACUUUCUUAGGAGGCCUUAGAUAGUAUUAGAGCCACCUAGUCCAUUGCCUGCGUAAGGAAGGCACCCUCCCAUUGACGGAAAGGGCAUCGUACCCCAAUGCUAAAAGGUAGCAUAGAUUCAUAAGCAGGUAAAUGAGUGCAUACCACAUCAAAUAGGCUCGUCCACUAAUAUAUGUUCUAUGCAUGUUUCCCAUAUUGGUAAGGGGACCAAGGCCUAAAGGAAGGGAGAUUGUGAUACCUUGAAGACUCCAUCAUGUAUGCAUUGGGAAAAUAUAUGGUACUUAAGUAAGAUCUAUGAAUCCAAAUGUCUACUUAUGCUUGCACUAUUAGAGGAUACCUUAGGAUUUUCACACGCCCUCGCACAUGUGGCGAAUUUUCAAGCCUAACACUUGGACAACACAUAUUGGGUAAUGUGGGGCACGUGUGGCCGUUGGGCUUCACACGUGGGCAAACCGCUCUGAUACCAUGAAGGAAGUUGAGGUUCCACCCCAAAACCAAUUGGCAAUGGGUGGGGCGUAACCCAACUCCUUAUAAACCCUUUUAAGGUUUGUUAGUUUUCCAAUGUGGGACAUUUUCACUUUCACAUCACAUUUCUUAGAAAUGCAAUUUUUGUGUUUUUUUGACUAAACUACCGCCAUAUGAUUUAUUAAAAAUGCUAUUUUUUCCUUCAAAAUUAUGGAUUUUUCUUUUUCUUUUUUUUACAAUAAUAUUUGAGACACCAACUGAUGUGGCAAUUUCUUAUUUGUUGUGGAUAAGUAAGGUUCAUAGUGGGCUCAGAAUGAAAACAAAUGACAUACCACCACAUCAUUGGUGUCCAAAAAUUGGUGCCGUAAGUUGGUGUCUGUAGUAUUACUCUUUUUUUAAAAGUUUUUUUUUUAAACAUAUUUUAAUUCAUAGUACUACAUGAGCAAAAUAUUGGAACAAGAAUAAAAGGUCUUUUUGGUUAUCAUGUUCCAAUAAACACUUGAAUGGGGCCUUAAGAAAUGAAAUGUAUAUUUUAAAAAUACAUAUUUAAGUACUUUUAUUGCUUUUAAUUUAAAAGAAUAGUUUCAUAUUUUAGGUACUAAUAAUUAUUAGGUCUACAUUUGUCAGGAUCAAGGUCAAGCUUAAGCUCUAGCAUAACUCAAUUUACAAGUUCAUUCAUUAAUGUAAAGCUUGCCAAUUUUUAGAAUGCCAAUCUAGAUAAGCUUGAUUCAAGCUCGAUAAAAAGGAAUAAGAACAUAGUAAAUACAAACUGACAAGGGGUCGACUCAGUUUGUUUGCAUCUCUACUUCCAUAAACUUGUACUAUGUUAUGAUUGUUAUCUAACCGCACACUAACUACCAAAAUCAUCUCCAAUUUUUUUUUCCUGCCUUCCAUCUGUACAAACUAUCAUGCUUCACUCCAUAUCUUGAUAACCACCAACCAAACUUUAAUUGAACUUAAAAAACUUUUUGACCCCUAAAAUCCACCAUUUGUACAAUGCAAACACAUACGAAGAAAAAUGAGCACAUUUUCAAGUCACUAAUCAUUAUCAGUCUUCUCCCAAGUGAAAGACGUCACAUACACUUUCAACUAUCUGAAAAGUUAUAUUAAGAAAUAUGAAAAGCCGCAUGCGUCCUCAAGGCAACAAAAGGGCUUAUUUAUGCCUAUUCCAAUAACUAUAUUCAUUAAGAAACGCACAUUUAGAUUAUACAUCCAUAACGUUAUUCAAGAAUCUAGAUUAUGAAUGCACGUUCAUAACGCAUUGACAACUAUUAAUAACGGUUGUAUGUUCAUAUUGUAGUAUAAACAUACGAUUGUACAUAUUGUACAUUCCUAAUGUACCAAACAUGAAUUUAAUUUAAUCUACUACAUCAGAAAAAACACACUUAAUGAUGUAGUGAGAUUCAAACAAUAACAUAGCCUAAGAAGGGGAAAGGAACACAUCUUGUUCCAUUGACCCAUUUACAAAGAGGCUUGUAAUUGGUCAUGGGUUAACCCCAAAUAUACUAUAUAAGCUACUUUGGUGCUUGUACAAGACUCUAUAUACUACUAAUGCAUACGUAUAAGCACAUCAUGAAUAAAACAGAAAUUUUGGAGUUCGAUUUGUCAGAAAUAUAAUGUAUCAACCACAAACACCAUCCAAUUAAAAGUAAAAAAAACUAGUUAGAACAAAAACACGGAACACAUAUCGUGGAUUUCACAUAGAUAUGAGAAGAAGAAAAAAGCGGGUGCAAUUAACAAGGUAAAGUUUAAAGUAAAGUUAAAAAGUCAUCAAAACAGUACUGAGACAGCCAAGUUAAAAGCGAUUUGUAUUGAGUACUGUACAAUUUACGGCAAGAAUAGAAUGAAAAUAUCUCAAUCAAAAUAAAGGCAUGAGAAGAAGUAGUAGCUUGUACCUGAUUUGAGAGCCCAAGUACGCGUCUCGGAAACAAAAUCACCUUCCUUCAUUAUAUCCUGAAAAUCAACAUUCCAAGAACAAAAAACAUGAACUACUGUAAGAACAAUUGCAAACCAGUCUCACUGGCCAUAUAUUUGCAAAUUUUGCAAUAUAAGUAUUGAAAAAAGAGCUCAAUGCAACACUUGGGUGAGCUAGAAAUCAUCAGAAAUGAAAGAAAAGCAUGACACUUACGACUUUUAGCCGCGUAGGGCAUGUGAUAAGUCCAUAAUUACACGAUUCCCAGUUCCAUCUCCGUUUACGCUUAUAAUUUCUCAAAAUUUUCUCGGCAGCCAAACAAACCGUUAGCUCAAAGACGAAACGGAUGUUCCGUCCUGAAGCAGCAAAAUUGGGAGCUCGGAAGCCGUAGAGGCAAUAGAAUAGAGCAAAAGAAGGAGAAUGCAGCCUGAGAGACGCAAGGAUGAGAGGAAAUUUCAAGGUCGGUGGCGUCCAUAGAAGAAGCGGAGACGAACUGAGGGAAGAGAUGAAGAUGAGGAGAUCUGGUUCAAUGGUGGAGGAGACAAGGUAGAGAGCGUAUGCCUGACGAAGAAGAAAGAAGCUCAUGAGAGAAUUUAGAGAGAGAGAGAGAGAAGUAGAGAGAGAGAAAAUAUCUGAGAAGGAAAAGAAUAAAAAAACGAAAGGGGAAAUGAUGUGGGGGAGGACUGAGAGAGAUGGUGGGGGCUAUGCAGAGUUUGGUGGGGGCUAUGGAGGAAGAGAGAGAGGCUGCGAUGCCCCCACUUGAUAUAACACGUCAUCGAUCUAUCCAGGCUCUCCUCUUUUUCUUCCAUUUGCUGAUUCUCCAUUAAAUUAAUGAAAUUAAUGAAAUUAAUUAAAUAAUGGUGGAAGGGAGAAGAAGAAAAUCUAGGGUUUCGGAUUCUCCCCCAAGUCGGGUUUUUUCGAAACCUGAGACGUAUAAUUUGGUCGCUCGCUGGCUGCUGCUUUGGCCAAAAACAAGCAGCUCCUCAGCCAGCCUUGAAGUCUGAUGCGUGCGUAGGCAUUGACGUUAUACAACUUGUUUUCCUUUUAUGAAUCAAUACAAAAAGAAACAAAAACAAAAGUGAUAAGACGCGGAUGGAAACAACAUUGCGCAACUCGAUUGCCACUCGACAUGAUUGUAGAAGGAUACAUUAUUGGGGCAUCCCUAAUUAUAGCCUCUAAAUAGGAUUGUAAAAAUAUAGUGGAUAGAGAGCUAUUUAGAGCUUUAAUAGAAUAUUUUAGACUCUAAAGAUAUCUUUUCCAUAAUGAGGGGCUUAUAUUUAGGGCUCUAUAUGGUUUUUUUUAUGAUAGUAUUUCAUUCAACGCAUUAUUGUUUUUCUUUUAUGGCAAAGGAUACAUUACGAAUCUAUUUUUUUGCAAAUAUUUGAUAAGAAUUAGACCUGACAAUAUUGUACCCGUUAACGCAAUACAAAUUUGCACCAAAAAAAAAAAUUAAGUAUUUGGGUUGAUGCUGAACGAGUCAUAUUGAAAAGGGGUGAACCCGUUAGCCACUCAUUAAGUUAACUAGUCGUGACAUGUAAAUUCGCCUAAUUUUUCGUUAAAGUUCUCUUUAUAUUUGGGAUUGUUUUUUAAAUGGCUAAAAACUCUUUUUACCAAACAAAGCGUUUAGCCCCUUUUGACAAUUAUAAGCGUUUAUGAUAGCAUUUGGGAGAAUACUUAUCUAAAUAUAUAAAGCAAAAGGCAGGGAAUGAUGAAACAUUCAAAAUACCAGAAAAUGCCCUUGGUUAAUUCAAACAUUAAAAUUUUAAAUUAGUAAUUAAAUAAAGAUAAUAUGGUAAAUUCAUAUUUUUUUUAUAUUACAAAAAUUAAAAUUAAAAACGAAAUCAGAUAAUAGGUCCUACUUUUACGGAACAUAACUACCCAUGUUAUAUUUUCUUAAUUCUAAAAAUAAAAAAUAAAAUAAAAAAUAAAACCAAUUGGCACAUGCGUGAGCUUGUGUCAAAGAACUAGUAAGUUCUUAUAGGUUUAAAAAAAAAUUGAGAAUAGAGGUGUUGGGAUGGCUAAUGGGGGUGGGGUUUUUUCUUUUCUAUUUUUAAUAUUUUGUAUAAACUUUUUAAUACUAUUAUUUGAUAUUUUAAUAAGGUGUAAUUUUAAUUUUCUGCAGCGUUACGAAUUUACCUUUAAUUUAAUGAAAUCUUUAAAAAUCUAACUGUAGGCCCUAAAUUGGUUAUUUUUUAAAAAAAAAUUGAGUACUUAAUUUAUCAAAACAAUUAAUUAGGAGGUAAAUUGACAACAACGAAAUAAUAUUAGGGGUCAAAACCGCAGAAAAUUCUUUUCAUAAAUUUUUAAUUUUUGCUCAGUCAAAACCCUUUUCAGAAUAUGUAUGUAGGAAUUCAGCAGUUGUAAUAUUAAAAUUGGGAAUUAAAGAGAAAAAGAAAACAAGACAUAGAAAAUGACUCCAUGUCGACUCGGCGAGCUGCAGCUAUUUAUGAGCCGUUUGCAAAACCACUCGGUCGACGGUGUAGGCAACCCAACUGCGCCCAUAAUAAGAACUUGUUGUAGUCCCGAGACUCGGGACACGUGUUGGGACAGCAACAACAUCUAUGGAAAUCACCUACGACCACACGAAAACUAUGGUAUUAUAAAUAUGCCUGCGUGGGCGAAUAAAACCCUGACACGUACCCGCUACCCUCGCGAUCAGUUCCCUGAAAAUCCCAUCUAAUAGGAUUUUAUUAAUUGUAUUGGUGUUUCGAAGCAUCCGGAAGCGAAAAUUAUAAACAAACGCAUAAAAGGUACAAAAAAGACAAAGUCCCACCCACCUGUCGUGGACACGUGUCGGCAUCGUAGUUAUUCGUCCAGUCAUAUGUCCGUAUUUCUCCUAUUAAAGUAUUGCUAAAGGACAAAGAUAUUUGAGCUGCAGAAUUCCAACUUGUAAUCUGAUAUUGGGCGUAUCAUGUUUGUUUUUUGGCUUUGCUAAUUGAAAUUUGAUGUCCGAAGGUUAUAAGUUAGGUUUUAAGGUGCGUCUUAUUUCUGAAUUUGUACUUUUCAUUUUUCAACUGAAAGUUUCGUGGAUCGUGUAGCGGCAUGCCUGUGACAUCAAUUUUAAAAUUUUAAAAUUUAUUUUCCACAUUAUUUCGAUCAGGCAUAAGAGGCUUUAAAUAUUAUAAGGAGUACCAAGCAUUUUAUGGCAUUAUUUUUUGAAAUGUUACAAAUAUUUUAGUUAGUUAUAUGAUUACUUUUGCUCGGGUUUGUACUUUGUAUGGUGAUUUUGAGUUGUAGAGACAAUGAUGAUACAGCUUUGUGUUGUGCACUGGGCAUGACCCACAUAUACUAUAUACCUUAAGUGCUGUGCAGGUUCUGACCUUAUUUGACAACCUUGAUGUUCUGGAUGUUGAAAAGGUUGCAAGUUGUAUCCUUUGGAAUAUCUUUUUCUAAAUUGAAAUAAAUCUUUAUAUAUAUAUAUACAGUGAGCUUCAGUUGAGGGAUCCCUCAACUGAAGGGGACUGUAUAUAUAUAUAUAUAUAUACAUUUUCCAUUGGUGAAUGGUAUUCGAAUAGUUGUUACGCCUUGUGUUGAGAGGCUUCUUAUAGCUUCCUAAAAGGAGCUUUGGGCAUCUACAAAAUUAGACCACCAACUAUAUAAAGGAUAUUGAAUUUAAGCAAAUUAAAUCGCUAGCUAUAUAAUUAAGGUUUAAGGUGCGGCUUAUUUUUUUAUUUGUAUUUUUACAUUUUUCUACUGAAAAUUUUGUGGAUCGUGUGUUGAGGUCCAAAAAAUUCACGGUUCGGCUCAAAUAUAUUUUCGGUCCAAUGCGAUACUUUAUCGAGAAGAAACCCGAUUUAGGCACGCGCAAAUUCGUCAUAUAUGCUUGCACACAUGCCACGCCAAGCAAAUAAGCUAUACGCCACGCUAUAAGCCUAAGUGGCCACAAGCCACUAAAAUGCCCGGAGCUUGCUUGAGUGGGUUGUGGCAUGAAUGGUAAUAAGUUGUCAUGAGCCCAUUGAUGGGCCAAGAAAUGGAGGUCUGGGGUUGCUUGGGAGUCUCGGAACCCAAGCCUAUUUUUUAGGCCCAAAUAUGUUGGUAAGCAUGAAAUGGAAAAUAGCCCAUUACCUCAGCCAAAAUAGCCCAUUACCUUAGAAAAAAGGGCACAUCACUUUGGGAAGUUGGCCCAUCCUUUUAGUGAAUUAGCCCAUUACCUUAAAGAAUGACCCAACUGACCAAUAAAAUAUCUUAAAGUCUCCAGCACAUGGCUGGAGACAAAAUCAUGACCAAAACCAAAAGCCAUUCACAUCUGUAGACUGCUGGAAUCUCCAACACACAGAAGGGAACAAGUUUCAAGCAAAAAAAUCCAAAAACUAAGGGAUACUUAAGCAAAUCACCCUUUGAACCAGCAUACAUACCUAAUUCUUUCCCUUGUCAGACCUGUCCAUGGAAGGAGGAAAGAAAGAAAGGAAGGGGGAUGACUGAAAAUAGGAAUUCUUCACCAGGGCAGCUGCGGAAAAAGGACCUUGAGGUCCCAAAAUCCAUGAUUUUGUGCAAAGGAGCAAAGUAGAUUUCACCAAAAUAUGAUGAUUGAAGGGAUGUGAGGAGAAAUGAAGGGAAAGACUUGGCAAAAUUGGAUAGAAACCAUUAGGGUUUCUUGGAAAAUGUCAGCUUCCAACGGCUAUAAAAGAGGCAUCUUCUACCCGACAAGCAUCAACCACAUUAGAGAGCAAGCUUCCUCUCUUACUCCCAAAACCCAACAAUUUCGUGCUCAGCUCAUCCUUUUUCCUUAGUUUUCCCUCUUGGCAAGCUGUUCUAACACUUGACAGAGUCUCUGUCAAGCUGCCGGAAAAACACUCAAGCCACAAUUUUCUCUCUUUUUCCUCAUGCUCAACCAAACCUCUUUGCAAAAUCCUUUCUCUCUUACCUUAAUACCCCAUCUUUCCCCUAGGAACACUUAGUUUUCUCUUCAGUGCUAAACUCAUGACAAUUUUGCUCUCAUGCCACAAGCUUCUUAUGUCAAGCUAGAAAAUUUAUUUGCAAGUUGCUAUUGUUUUGGUUAGUGAAGGUAACCAAGAUGCUUCCUAAGGCUCUACUGCCCUUUCAAAGCAUUUUUGGGGCUUGAUUUUUGAACUCAGACAAAGGAGACAAUUUCAUCAAUCUGCCCUUUACUGCAGCCCAGCUAAUUUACAGCUGUCGGAAGAAAAAGGCCCCUAAAUCGUGUAGUGAUACACCUUAGUAACAUUAAUUUAAUAAAUUUGAAGUCCAUUUCAACAUUAUUUCGAUGGUCCAAACUUUGGAGGAAGCAUAUGGACCUUUAAUGUUACACUUAUUAUUUUUAGUUAUGUGAUUACUUUUGUUAAAUAAACAUUGUUCUUGCUUAGUAAACCAUUUUAAAAUAAAAAUUCGUGAAAAUAUAAUGUGUGUUCAUAUGAACACCUAAAAGAUUUUUUUUUUUUUAAUAAUAAAAAAAAGAAGAAGAAGAAGCUUGAUUAACAAACGAGAGGCGAGAAGAAUGUGUUCGGUUUCCUGUUACUUUAAUUGAUAGUUUCGUAGCAAUUACUAAAUUUCAUGCAAUUUUUGUUUCUAAAUUACCCUUGUAUUAAAUUUGAACCCCCACUUUUAAAUAUGCAAUGUGGAGGGUAUUAUUGUAAAACAAACAUAUUUUAUUAUUGCAUAAACUAAAUGUGGAAGUGAAAAAAAAUUCCUUGUUUUCAUUUUCCAAGAAUUCCCAAAUAAUGGAAUGCAAGUCUUCUAUUCACAUGCCAUAGAAUGAGCAUGACAACUUCGUUACCAAGGAGUCCAUCCAUUCUUCUGUAAAUCAAAUGGGUUGUCACUUGAGCAUGAAAGUCUUCUAUUCAUCUGCUCUAACAUGAAAGUCUUUUUUCUUUUUCUUUUGUACAAGCAAAUUUAGGACUUCGGGUGUAGUAGUAAUGCUCUUCUGAACUACUUAAGCAACAAGCCCGUUGCUAUCAAUUUUUUUUUUAAAAAAUUUAAAAAUUGUCAUUUGUGUUAGUAUUAUUUUUUAUUUAUCAAAUUGUGUAAUUCGUUUUUUUUCUAUCGAAAUUGUGUAAUUCUUUAGAGGGGUGUUUUUCAAUUAAAUCUCUAAUGCCCAAGGCCCAAAGGAUGAGAAAGCCCUAGAAACCUUCAGUUUGGGCUAAGCUUUACUUGGGCCAUGUGAAAUAUUAUCAGGCCUGCCUUUGAGGACUCCUGUUCAUUUGCCUCCCAGUUUCAACGUUUCAAAGUACGGGGCCUCUUCCGCUAUAUACCCUGCAUUUGCAGAAGCGAGAAAACGACAGAAAGCGGAUAAGCAAAACGGCGGAACAUUGUCACCCACCACCGCCUCUUCAGUCUUCAAGCCUCUCUGCUUUCUCUUAUGUGAUACCUGUUCUUCCUUUUGAUAGCUUUUAUUCAACUUUAAAAAAAGAAGGAAACACGCUCGGGGUAAGCUUGUUCUCUCUAGCUUUAUCUCUUCUGCUCUAUAAUCAUUUCUCUCUGUUACAAACACCGAACCCAAGUCUGCAAUCUGUUUUUGUUUUUACCCUCUUUGCUAUAUUUUCGUUUAAGCAUGAGAUUUUAAGUGUUGGGUUUUGGUUUCUGUACACUAGGAAGUGAAGUUAUGGAUAUGGUGGUACCUUUAAAGCAAACCCCUGAUGGGUUUUGCUCAUUUCACAGAGUUCAUAGGAACAGUACAAGAAAGAGUGGUACUUUUGGGGGUAGGGUUAGUGAUAAGGUUGGUCCCACCACACCCAGUUCUGUGAGGGUCUUUGUUGGCUGCAGAACUCGGUUUCUUGUUCUGUCUGAUAGCAUUCAAUGUAGAAUACAUGAUGGUUACCAGAAACAUAGGCGAAAGCCUGUACUUGUUGCGUCGAAGGUUGAAACGCUUAGUUCCAAUGCUAGGUUGCAGAAUGUUGAAAAUACCCCACAUGGGAGUUUGAAUAAAAUGGAUUCUUCGAAUGGUUUUGAGGAAUUUGAGAGUAACAAUCAGCUCCGUAGACUGGUUAGAAAUGGGGAAUUGGAAGAGGGAUUUAAGUUUCUUGAGACCAUGGUUUUUCGUGGCGAUAUUCCGGAUAAUAUUGCAUGCACAAGUUUAAUCCGUGGGUUUUGUAAGAGUGGAAAGACAAGGAAGGCGACACGGAUUAUGAACAUUCUAGAAGAGUCCGGGGCUAUUCUUGAUGUUAUAACUUACAACGUUUUGAUUAGUGGGUACUGCAAAGCUGGUGAGAUUGAUAAUGCUUUAAGGGUUUUAGACCGGAUGAGUGUUUCUCCAGAUGUUGUCACUUAUAAUACAAUCCUGCGUACUUUGUGUGAUAGUGGGAAAUUGACACAAGCGAUGGAAGUUCUUGAUCGGCAGUUGCAAAGGGAGUGUUAUCCGGAUGUCAUUACAUAUACCAUACUGAUUGAAGCAACUUGUAAGGAAUAUGGGGUUGAGCAGGCUAUGAAGCUUUUGGAUGAAAUGAGGAGCAAAGGAUGCAAGCCUGAUGUGGUAACUUAUAAUGUUCUUAUCAAUGGUAUUUGCAAGGAAGGGAGGUUGGAUGAAGCAAUCAGAUUCUUGAAUGAAAUGCCAUCAUCUGAUUGCCAACCAAACGUCAUUACCCACAAUAUUAUUUUGCGUAGCAUGUGUAGUACUGGGAGGUGGAUGGAUGCUGAGAAACUAUUAGCUGACAUGGUUCACAGAGGCUGCUCUCCUAGUGUUGUUACUUUCAAUAUUUUGAUUAACUUCUUGUGCCGGAAGGGUUUAUUGGGUCGAGCAAUUGACAUUUUGGAGAAGAUGCCUAAGCACGGUUGUACUCCAAAUUCCUUGAGUUACAACCCAUUGCUUCAUGGAUUUUGCAAGGAAAAGAAGAUGGAUAGGGCAAUUGAGUAUUUGGAUAUAAUGGUUUCUCGGGGCUGUUAUCCCGACAUUGUGACCUACAAUACUUUGCUCACAGCCUUGUGCAAAGAUGGAAAGGUUGAUAACGCAGUUGGGAUACUCAAUCAACUAAGUAGCAAGGGUUGCUCUCCUGUUCUAAUCACGUACAAUACAGUAAUUGAUGGGCUCUCAAAGGUGGGAAAAACAGAACGUGCCAUAGAGCUUUUGGAUGAGAUGCGCAAAAAGGGUCUAAAGCCUGACAUAAUUACUUAUUCUUCUCUUGUGGGAGGGCUUAGUAGAGAAGGAAAGGUUGAUGAAGCAAUUAAGUUUGUCCAUGAUUUGGAAGAUUCGGGUAUCAAGCCCAAUGCAAUUACUUUCAACUCCGUCAUGUUGGGGCUUUGCAAGGCUAAGCAAACUGGUCGUGCAAUCGAUUUCCUGGCUUAUAUGGUAUCAAAGGGAUGUAAACCUACUGAAGCAACAUACACCAUUCUCAUUGAAGGCAUAGCUUAUGAAGGCUUAGCAAAAGAGGCGUUGGAGUUAUUGAACGAACUGUGCUGUAGAGGGGUUGUGAAGAAAAGUUCUGCUGAACAGGUGGCAGUCAGGAUGUAGCCUUAUACACAAUUCAUCUUUUGCUCUUGGAUGGUAGGUUAUUGUUAAAUUAUGCCUUUGGAUUUCGUCAGCAUCAUUUCCCAUUAUAAUGACUUCCCAGUGUCCAAUUCUCACUCUUUUUCUGCCAUGAGGAGUGGAAUCCAAAAUCAAUUUUGUUAGAUGCCAUAUAACCUUGUCCUCACAUUUGUUUGAUCUGAUUCUUGCACUACUGAUGAAUACUUGGUUGUCUCUCCAGUAGCGUCCACUAUCACAGUUUUAUAUAAAUAUUCAUGUUUCCUUCAUUAUGGUAGCUUGCAAUAGUGUGAUAGUUAUCUCUAGUGCUUUCAUAAUACUGGGAUGCUUUUUAUUAUAUUUUUUCUCUUGUUAAAGUCAGAGUGUUGGUGACCGUGAUUGUUUUGACAAACCCCAUGGCAUUGAAUUAGCAUUUUUCUUCUGUUAUAUUGUUAUUUUGCCCGAAGACAUAAAUAAUUGAAGCCAAACAAAAAUUCGGUCAGCUUGUGUUACAAACCCUGCUCCAUGUUGCUCAAAUUGGUCAUGCUAUUGACAGUAUGAGAAAUCAGCUGAUGCGUAGUUUCUGACUAUUUAACUUCUUGUUAUGUGAAGCAUUGGCAGACUGAUUGUGAGUAGCUCUUAUUGGGCGAUUUACUUCAGACAGAAAAGUUAAAAGCGAUAUGAAGAGGUGCCGAGUAGUUCAUAUGGAUCUGUCAACUAAACUACUUAGUUUACCUGGUCAUUGACAUCUACCUGAAUUGGGGUGGUUUCCAUUUGCCCUAGGCCAUGUUAUCUUUUCUAGGGUGCUGAUCAUCCAUACAAUAUUGCAGAUACGUGACAUGCUUUGGCAACAUUAGGUUAAUGUCACGUAUGUUUGAUGAGCGAAGGUGACAUUUGAUGCGUUCACUUUGCGGUGACGUUACUGCAUAGUGUUAACUUCCAAUGCAGCUGGGGUGAUGAAAAAUUGUAGUUACUAAUCAUCUUUUGGUCAAUGAAAACUGACACCUGGAGAGGCAAGGUGAUGACGAGAGUCAAACUCUUACCGUGGCGAGGACUUAAGCUUUCUAACUUUCAUAAUAUGUGCUUUUGACAACGAUGAGAGUUGAACUCUGACUAAUAAUCUUUUGCUUAUAAUGUAUGUAUUAAGUCCAAAAGUUUGGUAGAACCAUUGGCAAGAAUGAGGUAAUUAAAAGGGCUAGAGGCCUUGAAAUCGUCUGGUGGCUGGAACAAGAUUAGGCGGAUUAGCUGGCCUGAAAACUGGAAGGGUUUUAUGAGCCUUCUCACUCACACAUCUUGAAACCAAUCUGCACCAAGAAUGAAAUGACAGGACCAAAUGAUAUGAAGCUGAGUAGUUUAUCCACGGGACUAAAUUAUAUGCAAUUUUUUUAUAUCCAUAGGAUAUUCUAUCAAUAAAAUUUCAAAACUCAUACAUCAUUAGUCGCCAUCAAAUAAAAGGACAAAUGACAUAUUACCAUACAAAACCCUAUUUAAAAGAGGUUCAGAUGAGCCUAACUAGAAGAACAUAAAUUCUCUUUUAUUUAUUCAGAAGCAUAAAAGUAUUUCCUACUCAGAAACUUGUUUUUUCUGAUACUGAUAAGGCCAAGUCUAAAAAUUUCUUAAGCAUCGAUGCUAUUGGAACCGUCCAAACAUCAAUGCUUAUGCAUGCUUAAACCUUACCAAUCGAACGGCUCCAAGCAUUAACAUGAUUCAAGCAUUAAACCUUAUCACGUGGUGAUAUUAAUCUACGUGUUAAAAUAUGAUUGAACGACAUGAUUUAUGUAUCGUAGAUUUAAAUAUACAUGCUAUAACGUGGGUAGACUGUCACGCCGAAAAUUUACUCCUAUAUAUACACUACUACGCAUGCACUUAUGAUAAGAGAAAUUAUAUUCUUUCGGUUACCUUCUCCGUGACAAUUUUUUAUUUAUUUUAAUGUUUGUUCCUUCAACCAUAUAAAUCACACAGGUCAUUGCCAAACUGUCAUAUCAUCAUCCGAACACAGAUUCUCUUUGGCAGAACAAAUUCCUAAAAUCAUAUAGCCAGAUAAAUUGUUCCUUCACUUUCCCACUUCUCAUUUUCUUCUUCAAAAUUAGUUUCUUGGUACCACUUUCUUCUUUCCCUGGAAAACACAAAGACCUUAUUCCUUUUGAUCGCUCACCAUCUUCUCUAGCUACCACACACUAAAAAUCCUUAAAAAAUAGAAAAAGGGAAAGAGAGACAGAGACGGGGAGAGGAGACCCUACAGCUUUUUGGGAGUCUACAAUUCUUUUAUAACUUAAAAACUAAGCAGGAACUUGUGACUGUAAAAGAACAAGUCAUGGAUAGAAUUCCACCUCCUAGUGAUAAAAAGGAAGGUUUAUUUUCUUGCUGGGGACGUCUAAAGUUGAAGCUUCCGUGGAUAAGAGAACUCGGACGACAGGCAACCACAAGGCAGAGAAAUGUCGGAAAUCAGGGAGGUUAUCGGUAUGAUCGUGUGAGCUAUGAAAAGAACUUUGAUGAUGGUUCUUGGGACAAAAUGAAUGAGGACUCUUCUCAACGAAGCUUCUCAGCCAGAUAUGCUGCCUCUUCAUUCAAAUCACAUGGAGAUAAGUAAUAAAGAUGGGAUUAUACAUUAGUGGCCAUACCUGGUUGAUAUUUUAUCUCCACUCUUAGUUUAUGAACUUCUUCUAUUUGGGGAAGUGAAGGAGAUUAAUCUGUUCAUGUUCUGAUGCUGUAACUAUAUAUGUAUAAAUAAUGGAUUAAUUUUUUGUUAAAGAAAAUUUAUAAAAAGAAUUAAAGGUUUCCCCUUGGGAAAAAUAUUUUGGACAUUUUGUAUUAGGGAUGAAUGCAAGCUUGCAACAAAUCUUUUGACUA